rnacentral:rRNA from 1 species
AACGAACGCUGGCGGCAGGCCUAACACAUGCAAGUCGAGCGAGGACUUCGGUUCUAGCGGCGGACGGGUGAGUAACGCGUGGGAAUGUGCCCUUCUCUACGGAAUAGCCCUGGGAAACUGGGAGUAAUACCGUAUACGCCCUAUUGGGGAAAGAUUUAUCGGAGAAGGAUCAGCCCGCGUUGGAUUAGGUAGUUGGUGGGGUAAUGGCCUACCAAGCCGACGAUCCAUAGCUGGUUUGAGAGGAUGAUCAGCCACACUGGGACUGAGACACGGCCCAGACUCCUACGGGAGGCAGCAGUGGGGAAUCUAGACAAUGGGGGCAACCCUGAUCUAGCCAUGCCGCGUGAGUGAUGAAGGCCUUAGGGUUGUAAAGCUCUUUCAGCUGGGAAGAUAAUGACGGUACCAGCAGAAGAAGCCCCGGCUAACUCCGUG